UAAAGUUUUAAAAAGCACUAGCAGGGGCCGUGGCCCCUGGUGUGUUCCGAUGGCACCUUGUCAGCGUCAGCUGUCUUGUCCUAUCGCUGCUGUCCUCUGGCGUGGCCACACCCUGGCUGCACCAGCAGCUGUGGCUGUGCUGAAAUAGUUCUGAAUGGGCUCAUGACAGCGAGACAGCUGUGCUCUCCGAUGACUUAGACGUGACAUGUCUCUCCCCACAGGCGAUGAGGACAUCAUAGGACAGAAGGAAUUCGAAAAAUGACAAUGCGCAUACUCUGCUUUCCAGUUUCUGCCAGUUGGAGGUGACUUCAUCGGCUCACUGAGCUUUCCUCUGGCCUCAGAAAGAAGUGUUAGCAGACAGAAUACAGAAAUGUUUCUAGCCUGCCUGGGACCACCGCUGAGUCUUUGAUCCAGAAGACUUUUAAGAGGAGCAUCAUCUAACCUAGAGGCUCUGUCCAUCGCUUCCCCAGAGGCAGGGGCUAAAGCAGGUAGGCUCUGGACACUUCCAGCCAACAGCCCA